GAUAUCACCCAGAGGUAGGCAGCAUCUGCUUUACAUGCAGAAGGUCAUGGGUUCAAUCCCCAGUGGCAUCU